rnacentral:rRNA from 1 species
UACGUAGGGACCGAGCGUUGUCCGGAAUCAUUGGGCGUAAAGAGCGUGUAGGCGGCCUUUUAAGUCCUGCGUGAAAUCCUGCGGCUCAACCGCAGACGGUCGUGGGAAACUGGAAGGCUAGAGUGCGGGGAGAGGAGAGUGGAAUUCCCGGUGUAGCGGUGAAAUGCGCAGAUAUCGGGAAGAACACCCGUGGCGAAGGCGGCUCUCUGGAACGCAACUGACGCUGAGACGCGAAAAGCGUGGGGAGCAAACAGG